rnacentral:tRNA from 1 species
UCCCUGGUGGUCUACUGGCUAUGACUCCAAGUUCCCAAUCCAGGGGGCUCAGGUUCAAUCCCUGAUCAGGGAA